AAACUCAUAUUUUGCUUGGCAGAGGAUGGUUGACGCCGUAAAGGUUUUCAUUCUCCAUCUUCAGCUCAAGGCAUUUAUUUUCAUGGGACGUUUACUUGAAAAGCCCUCACUAAAGUCAUGGUGUAAUAGUGAUUUGGGAAGAACUUCUAGCAGAGAUACUUCAUCUGCCAGAUUGGUCAGAGGUCUCUUUAGGAUCUGGAAUCCCUUGUAGGAUUGUUUUCUCGUAUGCUGGAGUCAGGGAUGUUUACGUAGUAGCAGUGGCACAAGGAAUUUCUGGAAAAUUGAUUCUUGCGGAGAAGCAUCCUUUCAAGAAUCAGCAUGGUGUUGUAAUUGCCAUUGCUCCCCUGGCAGGGUUAAGUCCACAGGUAGACUAGGACCACCCGACAUGGUUACAUCUUCAGAUAAGAGAAUUCGAUCCAGAUUUUUUUAAAGCUAAAGUCAACCAAUCUAAGGUUUCCAAUACCCCUGCCGAUGGGAGAUGGACACUUGGGUUCCAUAGUGCAAAGGCUUGUGAGACUGCUCAGUUAUUGAUUCUUGAAGAGACUAGUAAGCCAAGGUCCUCUGUUGAGAGCAUGCUUGCUCCACUGCUUCAGGAAGAUUAUCUAGAAAAAAUAUGGAUAGCCGAGUGAUUAAAGCUCCAGCCUGAGUUCUAGGAGUGGAGCCAUUGUACCACUCUUCUCAUCUGCAGUUUUCCAUGUGACGGCCAACAAAGGUAGAGAAGACGCUUUUUGACUGGAGGAGGCUCUGAAAAAAAUACUCACUGGGGAAAAAAGAAUAAACAGUUGAGAGUUUUGGAUUAUUUGUUGUUGUAAGGAACUCCUUGGGUCCUACUUCUCUAUUAAUUUGUCUACACCACUCACAUACAAAUCAUAUAAUUGUUUCAUCACCCCAUGUAGGACAGUGUAAUGUAAUGUUAAUUGUGUGUAUACUUUUGUGCUCUAUAAAUUCUUAGGUUGAUUCGGGAGUCUUUUGUUUGUUAAA